rnacentral:rRNA from 1 species
AGGAUCAACGCUGGCGGCGUGCCUAAUGCAUGCAAGUCGAACGUGCGGUCUUCGGAUCGAGGCGUGGCGGACGGGUGAGGAACGCGUGGGCAAUCUGCCCUACAGGUGGGGGGUAGCCUUCGGAAACGGAGGGUAAUUCCGCAUGUGCUCGCUGGCCGGAGGGGCUGGUGAGGAAAGGCUUCGCAAGGAGUCGCCUGAGGAGGAGCCUGCGGCCGAUUAGCUAGUUGGAGGGUAACGGCCCACCAAGGCGAUGAUCGGUAGCUGGUCUGAGAGGACGGCCAGCCACAUGGGGACUGAGACACGGCCCCAACUCCUACGGGAGGCAGCAGCAAGGAAUUUUCCGCAAUGGCGAAAGCCUGACGGAGCAACGCCGCGUGUGGGAUGACGCCUUUCGGGGUGUAAACCACUUUUCUUGGGGACGACGGAGCGACGGUACCCGAGGAAGAAGGACCGGCUAACUACGUGCCAGCAGCCGC